UUCUCCAGUGAAAAUGGUUAUAAGAUAUGGAUUAGAAUGUAUAAGAUAAAUAUGUAUUGAGUUUAUGUCUAUGUGGAGAAGUAAUAACCCGGGGUCAAGCUGUUUUCAAAAAAAGAUAUUUU